AAAAACAUGUCUUGUUGAUUUUAUAAUAUUAAGUCUAAUCUGCUCAAUGAAUAUAGUUUAAUAGCCAUGGUAUUUUAACCAUGCAAAGGUAGCAUAAUAAUUUGUCUUUUAAUUGAAGGCUUGAAUGAAUGAUUGAAUGAGGGAUAAACUUUCUUAAUCUAAAAUAUUUUGAAUUUAAUUUUUAAGUAAAAAAGCUUAAUUUUAGUUGUGGGACGAGAAGACCCUAUAGAAUUUUUAUUAGUAUUUUUACUUUUAUUUUUAGGUGAAGAAUUAAUUAAUAAGGAUAAAAAUAUUAAUUUGAUUGGGGUGAUUAUGGAAUUUAAUAAACUUCCAUUAUUAAUUAUUUCAAUAGUUAUUGUAUUUUAGAUCCUUUAUUAUGGAUAAAAAGAUUAAAUUACCUUAGGGAUAACAGCGUAAUUUCUUUGGAGAGUUCUUAUCAAUAAAGGAGUUUGCGACCUCGAUGUUGGAUUAAAGUUAAUUAAUAGUGCAGAAGCUAUUUAAUUGGGUCUGUUCGACCAUUAAAUCUUUACAUGAUCUGAGUUC
rnacentral:rRNA from 1 species